UGAAUCCUGUGUCUGCUGUUUCGGCACCGGAAAGUUGUAAAGUGUGUAAAAUAAGCUAAAACACUAUAAGUACACCAUCAUAAAGUGAAAUAUAUCAAUGAAUAGAGACAAAUUAUGAUACAAAAUAGUGAUGCAUUUUGGAUGUAUCAGAGCGCAAAGAGGGGCCACAUACAUACCCUAGUGUGGUGACGGAUCCGCUACGGCAACGACGGCAUCAUAGAUUACCGUCGACGGUGAAGACUUUGGUGGAGAGGGCGAACGGGAGAAAAUCAAUGAAGUCCUGGUGACGAGGACACGACAGCAAGGAGGUGUGAGAGGCGAGGUUUGAAGAAGAUAUUUCAAACGUCGGGUCCGCCGACAAUAUAUACCCCCUAUCUGACGGUGACACCGAGUUGAAAUUUUUGGUGCCACCGAGUUCCA
rnacentral:lncRNA from 1 species